rnacentral:rRNA from 1 species
GACGAACGCUGGCGGCGUGCUUAACACAUGCAAGUCGAACGGAAAGGCCCUGCUUUUGUGGGGUGCUCGAGUGGCGAACGGGUGAGUAACACGUGAGUAACCUGCCCUUGACUUUGGGGUAACUUCAGGAAACUGGGGCUAAUACCGGAUAGGAGCUCCUGCUGCAUGGUGGGGGUUGGAAAGUUUCGGCGGUUGGGGAUGGACUCGCGGCUUAUCAGCUUGUUGGUGGGGUAGUGGCUUACCAAGGCUUUGACGGGUAGCCGGCCUGAGAGGGUGACCGGCCACAUUGGGACUGAGAUACGGCCCAGACUCCUACGGGAAGCAGCAGUGGGGAAUAUUGCACAAUGGGCGGAAGCCUGAUGCAGCAACGCCGCGUGCGGGAUGACGGCCUUCGGGUUGUAAACCGCUUUCGCCUGUGACGAAGCGUGAGUGACGGUAAUGGGUAAAGAAGCACCGGCUAACUACGUG